GAAUUUGAGGGUGACCUGGCUAUGACAAGCCACCCCACUGAUUACCAGUUUUUUUUAACUGAUCUUAUUGGCUUGCUGGGUGUCCCCUUUCUCCUCCACAGUUCUCUGUCUGUCCUUCCUCAAGCAGAAUGCUCGGUCAAAAAGGACUUUUUAUUUUUUUAAACAUGGAACACUAUUCCUUGUUG
rnacentral:snRNA from 1 species